CACUCGGUAGCUCAAUUGGUUAGAGCGACAGACCGGACAUCUGGAGGUGUGGGUUCAAAUCCCACCUGGGCAUCUCA